GCCGGGUUAGCUGAUGUUGAUUCAAGCAUCCGAUUCGUAAUCGGAAGUGCGUGGGUUUGAUUCCCAUACCCGGCU
rnacentral:tRNA from 1 species